UACGUAGGGGGCAAGCGUUAUCCGGAUUUACUGGGUGUAAAGGGAGCGUAGACGGCACUGCAAGUCUGGAGUGAAAGCCCGAGGCCCAACCACGGGACUGCUCUGGAAACUGCGGGGCUGGAGUGCAGGAGGGGUAAGCGGAAUUCCUAGUGUAGCGGUGAAAUGCGUAGAUAUUAGGAGGAACACCGGUGGCGAAGGCGGCUUACCAAGCUACUUCUGACGUUGAGGCACGAAAGCGUGGGGAGCAAACAGG
rnacentral:rRNA from 1 species